rnacentral:rRNA from 1 species
AAAGAGUGCGUAACAGCUCACUGGUCGAGUGGACAUGCGCCGACAAUACACGGGGCUAAGCUGGACACCGAAGCGGCGGGAUUUUAUCUAUAUAGAAUCGGUAGGGGAGCUUCCCAUGGGCGGGGAAGCCGCCGGGCGACCGGCGGUGGAGCGCAUGGGAGUGAGAAUGCUGGCAUGAGUAGCGAGAGACGAGAGAGUAACUCGUCCGCCGUGAACCCGAGGUUUCCUGGGCAAGGCUAAUCCUCCCAGGGUCAGUCGGGGGCUAAGGCGAGGCCGGGAGGCGUAGCCGACGCGCAGCAGGCAGACAUUCCUGCACCGCGCACGCGGCGCUACGACCGACGGGGCGACGGAUGGGGGUGGCUCGGCGGGGUUCUGGACGUCCCCGUGAUGGAGCGCGGCCCGCGGACCAGGGAAAUCCGGUCCGCACACAGGGCGAGGCUCCGGACGAAGCGAUCGAGCGAAGCGAGUGAGCCCGAGGUCCCUAGAAAAACCCCUAGGCAGGCGCGUGCGCGCCCGUACCGCAAACCGACACAGGUGGGUGGGUAGAACAUACCGAGGCGAUCGGGUCAACCAUGGUCAAGGAACUCGGCACAAUGGCCCCGUAACUUCGGGAGAAGGGGUGCCCGCGCGUACGUGAACGGACUUGCUCCGGGAGCGGAGGCGGGCCGCAGUGGAGAGGCCCAAGCGACUGUUUACCAAAAACACAGGACUCUGCAGAAGCCGCAAGGCGACGUAUAGGGUCUGACGCCUGCCCGGUGCCGGAAGGUCACGCGGAGGAGUUAGCCGCAAGGCGAAGCCCCGAAGCCAAGCCCCGGUAAACGGCGGCCGUAACUAUAACGGUCCUAAGGUAGCGAAAUUCCUUGUCGGGUAAGUUCCGACCUGCACGAAAGGCGCAACGACUUGGGCGCUGUCUCGACCAUGGACCCGGUGAAAUUGCACUGGUCGUGAAGAUGCGACUUACCCGCGGAAGGACGGAAAGACCCCGUGAACCUUCACUGCAGCUUGGCAUUGGCCGCUGGUCCCGCGUGUAGAGGAUAGGCAGGAGGCAUCGAUCCGGAGGCGCCAGCCCCCGGGGAGCCGCCCUUGGAAUACUGCCCUCGCGCGACCGGCGUCCUAACCCGAGGCCGUCAACCGGCUCGGGGACCGUGCCAGGCGGGCAGUUUGACUGGGGCGGUCGCCUCCUAAAGGGUAACGGAGGCGCGCGAAGGUCCGCUCGGGACGGUCGGCAACCGUCCUUUUGAAUGCAAGAGUACAAGCGGGCUUGACUGCGAGGCCCACGAGCCGAGCAGGUGCGAAAGCAGGCUCUAGUGAUCCGGCGGCCCCGAGUGGGUGGGCCGUCGCUCAACGGAUAAAAGGUACUCCGGGGAUAACAGGCUGAUCUUGCCCAAGAGUCCACAUCGACGGCAAGGUUUGGCACCUCGAUGUCGGCUCAUCGCAUCCUGGGGCUGGAGCAGGUCCCAAGGGUACGGCUGUUCGCCGUUUAAAGCGGUACGCGAGCUGGGUUCAGAACGUCGUGAGACAGUUCGGUCCCUAUCCUCCGUGGGCGCAGGAGAAUCGAUGGAGGCUGCCCCCAGUACGAGAGGACCGGGGUGGACGCACCUCCGGUGAACCGGUUGUCGACCAACGGCACGGCCGGGUAGCCGCGUGCGGCGCGGAUAACCGCUGAAGGCAUCUAAGCGGGAAGCCGUUCCAGGGAUUAGUUCUCCUUCCGGUAAGGGCCCAGGUAGACUACCUGGUCGAUAGACGGCAGGUGCAAGGGCGGCGACGCCCUCAGCCGAGCCGCACUAAUCGCCCGAGCUCUUCCGGA